rnacentral:lncRNA from 1 species
ACUUUCUUUUAAUGACUUUUUGGCUCAGAGCCCAAACUGGAUCAAAGACUCCCUGGGGGGAGGACAACAGGACUGUGCGUUCAUUGUGAGACACUCAUGGAGGCUGGCCCAGCUAGAGAAGCCUGGGAAGGACUCCUUCUUGUCUUGGGAUCUUGGCAUCAAAGGAAAGGGGAGCCCUCCUCAGGAGCAGCUGCACCAAAGCUGGCUCUUGAAGAUGCCUUGAGGGCCUGGAAAACACACCUGCUGGUGGCAGCCUGGAGCAGUUCAGUGGGGUGAGGUCAGGCAGGCGGUAAACAGGAGGGAGGUGGUUCAUCCCCUGGGGGCUGUUGCUGCUGCUGCUGCUGUUGUUUUGGAGAAAGGAGCAGGAGGCGCUGCUGUGGAGGCCCCAGGGCCCCCGGGGACCAGAGGGAGCCAUUGCACAGGGAUGGUCCCCCUGCAGCCCGGGAGCCUGGGAGGGUCUAUGUGACUGGCCCGUGUGACUGUGCACACAUACACCCCUGCACAUGUACCCUGCACACACACCCCUGCACACACACAUGCACAUGCAGCCCUCCAGCACCCAGGAGGCCACGUGGUGGAGCAGAAAAUCUGGCUCAAGUCCCAGCCUCACCACUUUUUGGCUCAUGACUUGGGCAUGUCACUUAGGCUCUCUGAGCCUCAGUUUCCCCAUCUGCCAGAGGAGCCAGGACUCUUGCCCUACCUCUGGAUUAUCGUAGAUUUGACCUAGUAAUUGCCAAUUUAGUGAAUCAUCAUCAUUGUCCCCAUUUAGUUAAGGAAACUGUGUCUCGGCAAGGUUAGGGGGGUGCCCCCAGGGCCCAGGCCAAGUCACAGGACCUGGACUUGAAGCACAUUCUGACCCCACAGGUCAUGAAUACAUGUGCUUCACAUCCACCAUCCAUCCACACAUGCCCUCCUGAGUAAGCAACCGCAUGCACACGUGCACAAUGGUGAUGAUAGCCACCAUACUAGAUGCUUUACAUACCCUCACAGUGAGCAGGUCCCACUUCAUUGCCUCCCUGAGGUGUUUGGCUGCAAGAAUCAGAAUCUGGCUAAACCACAAGUACAGUAAUUGCUUAUUUACCAAGGAUCCUGGGCAUAGGCAGCUUCAGGUGAUUUAGCAGCUUGAUGAGGUCACCAAGGACCCAAGUUUUUCCAUCUCUCUGCCCACCAUCCUCAGUGUUAGCCUGGUGCCACAUAGUUUCAGGAUGGCUGCUGCAGCUCUGGACAUCAUAUCUGAAUUCCAGCAGGAAAGAAGAAGAUGGCCAAGAGAACUCUCCUUUCACACCUCUCCCUUUUAGGAAGAAGCAAAAUCUUUCCCACAUGUCCCCAACUCCCUCCCCACACUUUCCCUUCUAUUUCAUUGCCUGGAACUGGGUCAGUGGCCACCUAGAGCUGCAAGGGAGUCUGGGAAAGAAAAGAUCUGGCAAAGGGGUGCAGGACCAUCAAUGACACAAGAUUCAUGCCCUGGGUCUAGGCACACUGCUGUUUUGAAAAAAAUCGGGAUUCCAAUGGCCAGGAAGAGGAGGGGGAGGGCCAGUCAAAAUGUCUGGCUCUUGUGCCCAUGUGGCCACGAGCUCCAUCCUCCGUCCCUCCUCCAGGGGGCAACGUGAGGACAGAAGACACAGAAGGCACAGGGAUUUGAACUUCCUGGGGAGGGGGGACAGGGUCCCCAAAUUCCCGUGCAGCUGUGCCCAUAAAGGUAGCAAGCCCCGCCAGAAACAAGCCCGCUGAAGACAGCUUGAGGGAAGCAGGAGGGGGCCACUACCCGGCUGUGCCCACCCCAGGCACCGGAUCUUGGCCAUGGCGUCUUGUGUCCCCAAACCCACCUGGUGCUGCAGUUGUCAGCCUUUGUUUCUUCCCACCCUGACGCAUCCGAUGGUGGCAUUCCCGCGGCAUCCUGCUCCACACCAGCCCCUCACCAAGACUUCUGUCUGCCCGCGCACGGUGAUUUCACAGGGUGGCCUGGAAUCCCCUUUCACUGUGGAAAAACAGGAAGUCACUGAAAGCUCAGAUGCUUUCGUGUGGCCCCUCUCCGUGGACCCCGUGCCCCUGGGGGCCACUUGGAGCCGAGAAGCCCUGAGGCGGCUGCACUUUAUGGAGACGAUUUGUUGAGGACAGCUGGCUGUCAGGCACCUUCUGCAAUCAAAGUUGACAUAUCUGCUCCUCAAUGAACAAAGCCUGAGGAUGGAGAGCAAUGGCUGAGCCCUGACGGUGGGGCUUGCUCACCAGGGUCCGGUCUUUCCACUCUGGGGACUGGGGACAGUCCUUUUCUUGGAGAUGUGUCCCUAUUCUGGUUUUGUCCAGAAGCCUCCUCUUCAGGGUGUUGCUGGUGCCCUGGGAGCCCCUGAGCUCUCAUCCAGUCCAUGGGUUCUGGGGAGGGGCCCCUCCUGUGGCGAGGCCCCUGUCACCAUGUGCACAACAUUUGGAGUCCCUGAACCUGUGGGCGCCCCAAGCUGCCCUUCGGGCCAGCCCAGCCAGCAGCUGUCGUGAGUUUCCUUCCUUCCCCGCCCUGGGUGCACUGGCCACCUGCCUCAGCAGACUGGCUUCUGGCUUUGAGUUUGGCCCUGCAGCAGCCCCUCCAGCAGCGCCUGUCUUUGUCCCAAGCCCUGGCAGAAGGAGGUGACAGAAUCCCUUCCAGAUCAAUCUGAGAUGGGAGCCCACCUCCGCCAGUGCAGACUGUGGCCCCAGGACGUUUGCUGCAGAAGACCACCACCCCCAACAGUGCCCUUGCAUAGGACUGUUCCGGCUGGCUCCUCCUCACAUCAGAGGCGCAUCGCCUACAGCACGCUUCCCAGCUGCCCUUCUGAGAACUGAACUCCCCAUAAGUGCUUUUGGGUGUUAAGAAUGUAGCGCUAUACCCAGGUGGCCCAUCCCUCUGUGAGAGCUGGCCCCAGGGAAGGCUGGGCGUGAAGGAUGCAUGUGCAACAAGGACAGGGAGUCCCACCAGGCUGGCUGUGUCAGCAGGGCUGGCUUCCCUGUGUGGGGAUGGCGUGGGGGGCAGUUGUCUGAAAAGGUUACUAAAGGUUGCUUCACUCGGAGGAUUUGGUUCUUUUCAUCAUGGCAGCUAGGAGACCAGCGCUGGGGAGGUGGGAGGACACAAUGGGGCUUUCAGCUCCCAGGCCGGGUGCGGGCAGGGGCAGGGACUGGCUGUUCUCUCCGGCUGCUACUGCUCUCCCCGCAGGGCCGA